CCUCAAAUCGCUCAUUUCUCUCUCUUCCCUUUUUCACCAUUGUUAUUUCCUUCCUUUGUUCAAGAAAAUCAACUCUUCAAAUUUCCUACACUUCGUUUAAGAAAUCUCACAAUUAAUUCAAAAGAUUCUUCACCCAUUGAUAAAGGUUACUUAUGCACAAGUGAAUACGAAUUUUUGGAUUUGGUUUUGGUGAACAAAAUAUCAGAAAAAAGAACAUAGCAGA